AUUGAACGCUGGCGGCAUGCCUUACACAUGCAAGUCGAACGGUAGAGGGGGCAACCCCUCGAGAGUGGCGAACGGGUGAGUAAUGCAUCGGAACGUGCCCAGUAGUGGGGGAUAGCCCGGCGAAAGCCGGAUUAAUACCGCAUGAGACCUACGGGUGAAAGGGGGGGAUCGCAAGACCUCUCGCUAUUGGAGCGGCCGAUGUCAGAUUAGGUAGUUGGUGGGGUAACGGCCUACCAAGCCGACGAUCUGUAGCUGUCCUGAGAGGACGACCAGCCACACUGGGACUGAGACACGGCCCAGACUCCUACGGGAGGCAGCAGUGGGGAAUUUUGGACAAUGGGCGAAAGCCUGAUCCAGCCAUGCCGCGUGCGGGAAGAAGGCCUUCGGGUUGUAAACCGCUUUUGUCAGGGAAGAAAUCCUUUGAGCUAAUACCGCGGGGGGAUGACGGUACCUGAAGAAUAAGCACCGGCUAACUACGUGCCAGCCGCCGCUGUAA
rnacentral:rRNA from 1 species